rnacentral:rRNA from 1 species
GCUGUAAUGGCAGGUCAGCAUACUGCCGUGAAUACGUUCCCGGGCCCUUGUACACACCGCCCGUCACACCAUGAGAGUUGGGAAUACCCGAAGCCUGUGAGCCAACCGUAAGGGGGCAGCAGUCGAAGGUAGAAUCAAUGAUUGGGGUGAAGUCGUAACAAGGUAAC